GCUGCCCUCCUCAACCCAUGUGCAUUUUAGUCUCCCCUAUCCUGGAUUUUGCUCAACAGAUCAGCCCUAAUCCGACACAGGCACGGUGCAGUCAAAGAUGGUUGUGUCGCAGGGUUGAAGGCAAGAAAGACAGAUGUGUGCCUGCCCCCAGUUGCGAGAGCGCAGAGGCAAUGAUGAUGGAACAGAAGGCAAGAGGCUGUCAUCAUUCACAUCACAAGGACCAGAGACACCCUUCCCGGGAAGAGAGCUGACAAACCUUCCGUGGUAAGGGGUGAGCAUCCUUGGGAAGCCACAGAGAGCAAGGCGCAGGUUUUCAUUGAUCACCACCAUCAAGAUGCUCCCAGAAUCGUGCUGUCUAGGAAACCAUUUAAACUGGUGAGAAGCCAUCCUCUCUUGAAUGGGGGCUCCCACUGUACAUCUGGCACCCACUUCACAGGUAUGCAGUGUCCACAGAGGAUCUAGGAAGAGCACCUACAUCUUGCAAACCUGCCGGAGCAUGUUGUGGGGAUACAAUUCUCAUUAUUAUUUCAGUUAAAAGGCACUGAAAAUAUAUUGUUCCUGUGCUA